GCGCCGUCUGAAGAAUCGCUGUCGCAGCCCACGCACAGAGAGGUUCAUCACCUCUCCUCCUCCAGCUGUGGGGAAAGUCCCCGGAGACGCAGAAUGCACGCCUCGUCCCCCUCACGGAAAGCGGCCGCCCCCAAGCACGGCGGGACCGGACGAGGCCGGAGGGAAUGCUCUGUCUGCGCUCGCAGCUAGCUCUCUCCCGUCUGCCGCACGACCCGCGGAUGCGCACCCGGUGACGGCGCCGGGGCGCGAAGAUACGAGCGUCCUGGUUGCUCGGGUGCGUGCUGCGCGGGCGGGCGAUUCGUUGCUCAUAGACACAGUUAUGCGAUUGCGGGUCCCUCGCGACUCGUCAACGGAAUGGGGCUUACUCUCAUUCGGCG
rnacentral:RNase_MRP_RNA from 2 species